UUGGGUCUUGAGGUUUGGUCCUGCCAGGGCCAACGCUGCCAGCAGCGACGUUUGUCCGCCGCUUUUUAUCUGACGUAUGUGCACUUACGUUGACCGCUGUUGGGUAUUGUGUGGUGGAUGUUCUCUGGCUGUGUCGCGUGCAACAAGAACAGUAGAAGAGUUUCUGAACUCCGGUCGCCUCGGCAGUGGGCCAUUGGCCAGCAAAGUUGCGUGUUCCUAAACCCAUAGUUCAUACCGUGUCGUCUGGCAUGGACGUAGACCACUGUUGGGUACUGUGUCGCGUACAGCAAGAACCCUGUCCGCCCCGGCAGUGGGCCAUUGGCCAGCAAAGGCACACAGCGAUCGGACUGAGCAUAUCAAGUAGCCCCUCCUGUGACCCACAAGACCACACUCAUUCGGCCGAGGAGCCUGUCUGGACUUACGUUGAGAGUGCUGGCAGACAGUUUGUUUUUUCUGGACUUAUGUUGGGACUGCUGGUGGACAGUUUCGGUUUUAGUCUUCAGCUGGUGCACAGUUCACUUUUAUCAC